ensembl:lncRNA
CAGGCAGCUUGUAAAUACUUGAAUGCAUCCAUCAAUGUCAAGUCAAAGUAAAGAAUCUACAGCAAAGAAAUCUAUAAGUCUUUCUAGUUAUCUGCCAAAUCCUUAUUAGGAUCAAGGCACGAGAUGGCAAGUGUGCUUCUGCAUGUAAAGUAUCCCAUGUUGUGGAAAGCUUCAUCCCAUUGAUGAAAGGGACUUUGGGAUGCCCACAGUUGAAACAGUCUGAAUCAGUUAGACAUGGGAGUAUCAACUGAAAAUUUGUAUUUUCAAAAGAAUUGGAAUGGCGACCACUAUGAAGACAGAGAGUGUAUGGGAACUGUUGAAUCACGGCCUGAACCUCUGAUUGAUCAGCCAAGGCGAGCACUGAGUCAGCCGCAGGAGCACAGGUGAAGGCAAUUCACCUGUGUGACUGGAAGGGAUGGAGCCUGGCUGCACCUCUCCCAGACUCCAUUUAAGGGCUGACUGCCACUGAGGAAGGAUCGCUUUCUGGAGGUUGCUCCUCUUGGAGUUUUUAUUUGUGAGCCUAUGACACAGGUACAUCUUUCACCAUCAGGUGCAAUCUAUUUGGGCUCCAACUCUGCCACGCAAAGGCAGCAGACAUACAGUCAGAAAAUUUGAAAAACUGAAUAAAACAAAUCUCCCCUUGCUGGUCCAGUCAAGCCUUAACUGAGACAUCAUUGUUGCAAACCUGGUGUUGACUCGUGAAGCCUGUGGAGAAACCAUUAAAUAGAUGUCAGACUGCUGGAACAUGUCUCUUCAGUGUCCUACCACAGAUCUGAAAGCGCACUGCCAAGAAGCUGCCUUGUCUCGCAUAGAAGCAAUGAUUACAGAUUUUGAAAUCUUGGAGUUUCCUGUGAGGUAUAUCUCAGAAUCACAGGGGACCUCAACAGACCUUCGAGUCCAACCCCCUGCUAAAGCAGGUUCCCUACAAUAGGUCACUCAGGUAGGCAUCCAGACGGCUCUUGAAUAUCUCCAUAGAAGACGACUCCAAACCAUCCUGUGCAGCCUGUUCCAGUGCUCCAUCACACCCUUACUGUAAAGAAGUUCUUCUGCAUGUAGGAGAAACUCAACCCUGCACUCCCUAGCAGCCCUGUGGUUGCUGUGGGAGUGUAACUGAUGCGCCUCAUUAGAGUUUGAGAUUGUAAUUGACUCAUAAAGACUCCAGGAGGGCACCGAUGAGUGAAGUAAACCUAUAAUCCCCAGUGCAGUGCCUGCUAUAGCACUGCUGUUUAACAGCCUUCUUGCUAAUCAAUUCUCUUCAGUUACCCAAAUGCCAUAGCUGCUAUGUAAAUAAAUGGAAGUUUAAGAGUGUUCUUCAUUGCUAUGUUCCUUAUACGCCAACCAUAAAAUCAGCGUGCAUGUUAACAUAUCUACUCCACCUUGUAUAAACGGCUUUUCUUGUUUGUUUAGCUGUAGAGCUUGAGAAAAACAGAAACAGGGAAAAGCAAUAAAUUGCCUGUUCUUCUUAGGUACCAUUUUAAAAAUCUGAUACCUCAUUGGGAACCCAGGUGGAGAACAAAGGUACAUAUUUUAGAGUCAUAAGAAUGUCCACAAUUUAGGUUGUUAACUUCUAUCAUAGAUUUUAAGCCAGACUUCCACCCUUCAACUUUCUGAAUAAAAGGGCUGUUUCUCAUAGACUUCUUUGAGUGUGACAUCCAUCCAGAGGAGACUUUUCCCCUUACAAGUAUAUAUUUUAGUGAAAUACACUGUAAAUGUAGUUCAGAAUGAGUUGGUGUACAGAAUCCUGUCAAGGAAAAUUGAAUCCAGCUCCAUUGAGGUUGAUGGCAAAAACAAUAUCGUGUUUAAUGAAACUAUAAUUUCCCCUCUUAUGUUUAGCGUAUGAGUGAGCAACAUCUUUUAAUUAACAAUGCUUUUUUCCUAAGCAGGGUCAUAGGAAGCUGGGCAACUGUUUUUAUGUUUAACUUCUCUUCUGGUUUGUCCUGCGGGAAAGAGUAGUGCUGAUCAAGAAGGUGUGAUCAAAUACUGCAUAGUUUCACUACUACAAUUUGGUAUCCUUUAACACAGAGAUCAGUGUAUUGUCACCAGGAGAAAAUGAGGGCACAGAGAGAUGAAAUGACUUGCCCUAAGUGAUCCAGCAAAACUCAAAGUAAAGCAGAGGUCUUGUGUGUUUGUGGAACCAAGGAGAGAUUUAAAACCAAGAAAAUACACUGAUACUGUGUUCCUCAAGUUGCACUGAGUUUCUCACUUCAUAUUUUCUUUCUGCCUUCAUACUAAUAUUGGAUAGUAAAUCUUAAGUAAAUGAAACAGUUUCAGUAUCUAACAUUUAAGAAUUUUCCAUAAGUCUGAAGUUCCAUUAUCAUGCCUGUGUAGGGAAAUGAAUCCUUUCCUCUUUGGUUUUUUCUUUUUUUUUUUUCAUUCUGAGUUUAAUUCUCCGUUUCUUAUGAUGUUGUGUAACACAUAUCACAGACAACUUCAAAUGUUCAUUCAUUCUUUAGAUAGACAAUCUCAGUAUGUAAAUUCCUCCUGUAUAAUGGGAUAUUAUUAAUUCAGAAUUGUCUUGUACAUUAACAAUAAUUAAUUUGCACAGAUAUUAUUUAUCAGUAUUUUAGCAUGUAGGAGGUUGAUGAGCUUUUCACUGAUUAAAAUGGUGAGUCAACUGAGGUAAACUAUACUGACAGUCUGUAGGCAUAUGUGGUAGGAUUUUUGACACCUAAGAGUUUUAUAAAGCUGGAAAAACAUACUACAUUUUUCACUCCCCCGAUUUUAUCAAUUUAUGACCAACUGCUGAUUUGCCCCUAAGCACACAUACACAUGAACUUUUCAGCAUUUUAUUAAAUAUUGAGAAUUGAACCUGAUGACAUACUGCAUAUGCAAAGCAAUACUGCAGUGUGUAGUUUAAUUAAUGGCCAAGUAAAUGAUUAAGCAAUACAUUUCUAACCAGAAAGAUUGCUUAAGGAAGAACAUUUCUGAAUUUCCUAACAAGAAAAGGCUGUAGCUGACCCUACAAAUACAGCCCAGUGCAAACUAGUGAAUGUGAGACCGUUUAUAUGAAAAAUUAGAAUGGAAUGGAACUCAGCGAGGCCUGGUGAAACUCCAUGAUAGCAGAAAAUAGAAGGCUUUUGUUUGUUUGUUUGUUUGUUUUCAUUCUAUUUUUAGUAUGAGGUUCAGAAAUGUGAAUUUUUUUCCUUGUCUUAUCUAGACCCUUUCCAUUUAGGAAAUCACUGGUGAAUUUCUCUCCACUUUUCAUUGGAUUGAAAGCACACAUGUAUAGUAUAAACAACUUUAAAAUAUGUAGUAUAUUUUGCUGUCAGAGAUCUAUGUCUGUAGUUACUAUGGCUAGUGGUUUGUCAUAAUAAAUCAUACAGAUUGUCAUGGGAACAGUGGAAGGCAAACAUCACAACUGUGUAGUAAAAAAACACUGAUCCUACUAUUUAAAUACAGUCAUCCUUUAUAUAAAAAUGUAAACGUUGAAACAAAAUGACAUUUUGAAAAAUAUGUAUCUAAAGUUAACUGGUAGCAAUAACACAAAACCAUACAGAUCACUGAGAACCAUCAUCACUCUGUCUUCAUUUCUGCUGUCCUGCCUGUGCAGAGAGAAGUGAAUGUGUAUUUUUGUGGGGCUGGAAGUCUCUGCCUGUUGUCCGCUGACUCCUGAGCUCACAAAUCACUCCUUCAGGGGCUUCCAGGAGGUGAUCUGGCCAGGAUCAGCCCUGGCGGAUGAAAUUUCAUGAGCUAUGGAGUUUGCUUUGAAAGUAAUGCCUCUUAUUUAAACCUGUGAAAAAUACAACAGCUACAAGAGCACAAUAACUAUUUGAUAGAAAAAAUUCUCAGCUACAAAGCACUGUUUUUCAACAUGAUCACCACCAUUAGGUAUGCAUUUUUGCCAGCGAUGAACGAAAGCGUGCAUGUUGUGCUCAUAACAAUCUGCACCAGCAGAGGUGACCCGUUGUCACUGUAACCACUGUUGGAAUGUACCACCACCUCACUGUACUCACAUCCAGUCUUUGGUCUCCAUCAACGUUCAACAAGUGUCAGUGAAUGUCAGUGGGUGCCAUUUUUUCCACAUGGAGGAAUUCAGUGACACACCUUUGCUUCAUAUGCACUUCCAUGUCAGGCACCAUUGUGUCAGGAUGCCCCUCUGCUGCCAUCUGUCAUACAGCAACAACAUGUAAUGGAAUACUGGUAGGAAGUUUCAGCCUCUACUGCCGUAUCACCAACGUCUGCCUCUGAUGUCAUGUGCCAACAUCAUAAAAUAGGAGGAAUUACUUUCAAAGUAAUCCUUGUACAGUUUAUCUCUGUUUGUUUCCCACCGUUAAGCCCCACUCCAUCCAAACCAGAGGACUCAUAGAAUUGAAGAAAUUGCCCUCACAUUAAAAGCGGCUCUGUCAAGUCACUACCAAACAUCUACUGAAAAAGGUGCUCCUGUAACUGUUCUUUGUAGCCUUUCUUCAGUUGCAGGUACCUUUCUUCCUUCUCAUAUCUGCUCUGACAAUCACAGCCUUUGCGAGAAUUGGCUCAGGUGACAGAUUGACAUAUCUAGCAGAAAAAUUCUCUUUUAUUUGUGUUUAUUUACAAGCAGUGUUAGGUUUCCACUGGAUCGGUUCUCAAAAUUGAUUUGCCUCCGGGUCACAGUCAUCCCACAGGGAUUGAGCAGGAGCAUCUGGCUGGAGAAGAAGAGAAGAUGAGGAGUGGGACCUCCUCCAUCUUCCUUGGCAGGACUGAAUGGAAUGUGAAACCAUAACCAGAAGACGAAGUGUGGUGGUAGGUUAAACCAACCCAUGUUGGCAGUGCUGGUGCCCUGCCCGCUCCUUUGCUCCCAGGCCACACUCCCGUCCAAUCCUCACACCAGCUCUGGUACUCCACUGAGUAUGCAAUGAAGUAACUGCAGAUGACGUUGCAGUAAGCUCAGUGCUUCCUUGCAGUACUCCUUGCCAACUGCUUUGAGUGAAAUGCAUUUCCUUGGCUUGCUGCAUAUGCAGGCAAGAGCCCACCCAUCCUGGUGGAAGGGAGCAGACAGGGCAGGAGCACAGGUCCACUGCAGAUGGGAUGCAGUUGGUCUUGAGCUCCUCUGAGCCUCUGAGAUGUCCAGAGGUAAUCAAGAGCUCUAGAUGUGAAAUCACCUUCUUGAGAGGUGCCCCAAAGUCUUCUGGGUGUCCAUGUAAUUAUCCUCUUAAGAAACAGAAGUCUCCUUAUGGUAAAAGUUGCGGGUUGAUUUUAAAGUAUGCAGAGCCAGCUGAAAACAAAUUGUAUGUGACAGCUAUCACGAAACUGCAGCUUUAUCAUCCUUUACUGAUGGCAGUCUGGAUGUCAGAACAGCGUUGAGAAAGUUAGACACACUGCUGUGGCAAAUGUCAAAACCAGACAUGAUGGGAAGUACCCUUUCUGUGCCGACACACAUGCAUCCCAGAAGCCAGAACUGUCUUACUGCACUUGGCCUAUAAAAACUCACUUCUUAUGCUACACAUGCCAUUUCAGUUUUGUUUUCUUCUACAUGAUGAGCAAAUGUGAGCAUUUGGGUUUAGUAAACCACAGCUAUGAGACACCUCUGCCAGGGACUCUGCACAAAUAACUAUUCUGCGAUAACCUGGAUGUCACAUAGACUUUCAGAAGAUGGAAAGCACUCAUGAAAUAGAGCAGUUAAGUUUAAUUUAAAAAACAAAAAUCAAUUAUGAAAGCAACUGUGAGAGUGACUAAAAAAAAAAAAAAAUGCAAAACACAAAAAUCAAACAACGCAACCCAAAACAGAAAGUAACUGCCCUUUUGAGACACAAAGAUUUCACUGUUUCAGGCUUGAUUUAUGAUUGUAUUGUACCAGUUUUAUGCUAGUGUAAAAACAGGCUGGUAGAAAUGUUGAAUAUCACUAAGUAUGCAUCCUUUCAGUUCUGUCAUAUGCUCUCAUAAGCAUAAAAACAGCUAAUAGUUGUGCAAAUCAAAGAAAACCUAUAAAAAUGAAAUGGUAGAGACGUUAGAUGCAGGGAAAGAUAAUACCCUUCAUCAAUGCAGAUUUACUGCAGUGAUCCAUACUAAGGGGAAGAGAAAUUUAUGGAGAAGCUAAUUUUCAGUAAGAUAAAGGCUUCUUGAAACACAGCAUUAAAAAGUCUUUAAUAAGUAAUUGAACCAGAUGGAUAGUUUCUUAAAUACUCUAAAUAGACACCUUCUGUGUUUGACUGCCUCCAUCUUACCACAUUAUUUAAUGCUUACAGUUCUUCUAACCAUACUCUGUUCUUGCUGAGCUUGUGCAGCACUUUAUUAGCUGUGGAGAUCCUUCAAUUCACAGUGAGUUAGUCACAGAAUUAUAUUCUGUUCAACAGAAGCAAGUUUGUGACCCUUUCUAUAAAAUCAACCCAUUCUAAAUAGAUAUUAUGCUACAUGUUGCAAAAUUUAUACACUUCACAUGAAUAUGUCACUUGUCAUGAGAAUUCAUAUUUCCUCAUUAAGAUUUCAAGAGGUUUUAUCAAGUGCAAAAGGCAUUACAGAUUGCACUUAAAAACACUUCAAAGUUCUGGAAAUGCCAAGAAACCUCAUUUUGAGCAUCGUUGUUUGAAGAAAAAUUUCAAUAUGCAGGUGCUUGAUAGGCUGCAGUAAUGCAGGAAACUAACAUGUAUAAAGGGGGCUGGCAUGGCUGAGGUUAGCUUACUGUGAGAAAGGUACGCUUUGUGUGGUAGCAGACUGUUUCCAUAAUGCAGUAUCAGAUGACUUAGAUUAAUUACAUAGGUGAUUAUCAGUUACAUUUGUCUAUUUAAAAUACUGUGAAUGUAUUCAUCAUCUGAUUGUUUCGAAGAAAUAAUUUGGCUUGCAUGUAGUGAACAAUAAUCUGUGGCAGUGUUACUUUUACAGUAAAUGUACUUGAAGUUUAUGAGCAACAGCAUAGGGGACAUAAAGAUAUCUGUUUGGCAUUUCCAAGUUUUAUGAGUCUUCCACAGAAGAAACUUCUGAGAAGACUAUUUUAUCCAUGUACAUAUCUAUGUACACUCAUUUACUGUAAGUGAGAGCAUAUUUGUGUCAUCUGUUACGUCUACUUUGAUUAACUAUGGAUUAUUUGCCCUUUGCUGCUAAUGUUCUGUGGAGCCAUUUGUUUUCUUGUUGAGUUAAUGAUAUUAAAGGAAAAGAUAUUGCUUUCUUUUUUAUGAUGAAUUAAUUCUAAUAGUCAUUGCUUAAAAUGCAAAAGAUUAUCAAAUCGAGGAAACACAAACCAGAUUGCCUGCUCUCUCACUUCUCCUCUGUAGGAGUGUGCACAAACACGGACUCCUGGGACAAGGAGUUUAUUACAGAUUAAGGGGGAAUAUUUUUGUGAGAACCCCCAUGUUAAAUUAUUCGCAACAAAUCAUGUGUCACUCAGGGCACACAGCACUUGCGUAUCUACUGGUAAAAUCAGGAAGGAACCUGGUCUAAAUUUGUCUCCUAUUAAUCCUGAAGAGUUUCGAUAAAGGCUUAAUUGUGAAGGAGUUUCCAAGUAAUGAGCAGUGGCUGGUGAAUGUAUUCAAGCCUGGGGAAAAUAACUGCUCUGCUGCAUAUUUCAGAGUCUUUGAGAUUAAGAAUGUGGCUUUAUGGAAUUUAUAAAAAGGAGAAUAAAUAAAUACAUCAAGGUGUGAUCUCCUACUGAUCAUUUCUUGUAAUUGCUCUCUUCUCUCCUUUUACCCUGUUCUCCUGUGGCCAGCCCGAGUUCCUUCCUUGGGGCUGGACAUCCCAUACCAAGCCCUUCAAGGGCCCAUGAGGCCUCAUAGAGGUAACAGAGAGAACUCUCCAAACACAUCUUCUCAAGAGGAAGAGAGAAAAUGAAGAGUCUGUGUUUUGUCAGCAUUAAUCAAGGAGAGACACCAUACCUGCUACGGAUGAGACCCACGGCACUGCUCUGACGGUUAUCUCCCUUCCUUCCUUUUCCAUGGAGGACUUUGUUGAUGGUAUUACUCUCUCCAUUUUACAGAUUGAAGCACCUUUUCUAUUCAUGUUUCCUACUGGAGUUUUUCAGCAGAAGCCACACAGGAGUGCCUGAAGAGUCCACAACUCUCUGACCAUAGGCGGAAGGAGAGGCAUGUGGGCUCACAAACCCUUCAGUGGACUCUUGGUCCGGAAUUUCAUUGCCCCUGCACCUUUUGUGAAUGAAAACAAAGAGCUGAUUGGUAUUAGUGAACCUGGUGUUACAGCAAUGAGAAUUUAGACCCUAAGCAUGUUUUACCUCAACAUUAUAGAGACUUUUCCAUUUAGUCGCUGUUUUUUUCUGUUUUGGCACUGUUGUAGAAAUGUAAAUUAGAACUAGCAAUGAACAAACUUAUUUCUGUUCCUAAGUACAUGCUUAAGUUUUGGCCAUCAGAUAUAAGUUUUAAUUACCACCGGGGAAUUGAAUAACAGCAUUUUUUUUCCUUUGCUUCAGACUGUAAUUAUCUCAUUUUACACCUUUAUGGUCACUGCUUGUUUUCCAAGCAGAUUUUGUGCAAUCCUUCAUACUGUGUUAAAAACGAAUCAGAAAUUACUAGAACCAUAAUUAGGACUGAAACUAGGAACAGCUCUUCCUAAUAAUUGCAGAUGUGAUGAGUAAUUAUAAUUUAUGUUGGCUUUUCUAUGUCCCCAUGAAUUUUACAAAAAGCAAACAAACAAAAACAGGUUGACGACCCCCUCCUUUCUUUCCCAAAACUCUCCCCUCCCCUCCUGGCUUCUACGAACUGUGACCACUCUAACAGAAAGCAGAAAAGUUCAAACAGUCCGGGCUGACUUCCACAGAAGAGAAAGGGAAGUGAGGUCUGGGCACUUUUUCUUCCUGCCUCCCACCUUCUUCUGCCUUGCAAAAGUGGUUCUCCCUACUGCUGCCUGCAGACCUCAGUUCAAUAGGAAGAGGAGCUCUGUGUUCCUGCUGAGCAGUAACAGCAGUGGAUGCAAUAAUUGAACUGGAAAAUUAAGAGGACUCAGUGAAUGGGAGCUCUCAGUUCUAAGUAUGUUGUACUUAAGGAUGUGGUUUAGUGGGUAAUAUAUGUGGUAGGUGGACGGUUGGACUAGAUGAUCUUACGGGUUUUUUUCCAACCUUAAUGAUUCUAUGAUUCUACAAAUCUGUGUUGUGGAGCUACAGGAAGACAGCACAGAUGUUUGCCCCAAGUCCUAUUUCCAAGCAUGUUGUCUGUUUAUGGUUCCAUUGCAGCCUCCUUGAUUUCAAGAUAUUCAGAAGUGCUUUAAGCAAUUAAAACAAACAAACAAACAAACAAACAAACAGUUUUUUUUCUAAAACGAUUGUUUAUAUCUGGGUGAGGAUGUGCAAGCUUAGUUUUUUUCAGUAACACAACCGUUGUUUUGCAUUUCUACCACCUACGCAACUUGAAGUCUAGUGCCAUACUCAAGCAGAGGUGAAAGUUGAGAGAUUUGGCACCAUAUGGUGGACCAUCCACACGUUAUUAUUCUGUCCUUUUGGUAAUGACUCACACAGCAAAGAUUUCCUUCUUGUAUGAUUUUCUUUUCUAUUUGCUUUCCUUGAAAUCAACAUCCAAAUAAAAGCUAAAAAAUCAAUAGAUGUAUUAUGUAUAAUUAAUAGCAGUGUUGAAUGAUCUAAUGAGAUCAGAGUGCUUUUUCUCUUUCUUUCUUUGCUUCCCUGCCCUUCCAUGGAAUAAGAAACUGGCAAUAUGCCUGAAAGCCUCUUCCAAAAUUUUGCUUCACAAUCAGUGACUAGAAAGAGCCGAACAUUUCCUGAAAGUAUGUGGUUUGCAUAAGGUCACAGUAAAGAUCAAAUGGAAAAAAUGCAUCAUGUAUAAGUUGAGAUAUAAGAGUCUUUUGCCCACUAAAUCUGCUUUUUUUUCUCAUUUUGAAUAUAUCCUGAAAAACAACAAUACAUAAUUAAGAUAUCUCUAGAUAUUUUAAUAUGCAUAUAUCUGCACUUACAUAUAUACUCAUAUAUGUAGUAAUGUGCAAAACAUUUGCAUUUUCAGAUGAAACUGUGGCAAUCAACUUGCUUCAAAAAACUAACAAAUAACAAAAAGUUGCAAUUCUUUUGACAGACAAGAAAUUGUGGAUUAGAUUAGAUCUGGAAAAACAACUACUUGGUAAUAUGCUGCUACAACAAGCAUUAGCUAUUGCUCUUCAUGGCAGCACUGCUGAGUAGUCACCUACAGAUAAAGAGGUGUGGCAGCUGUCCGUAAACAUGACCAAGGCUUGCAUACUAUGGCUAAUACUAUUUUUUUCUAGGUUGUUUACUGAAGUUAACAAGAAAGCAAAUAAAAUAAAUGGAAUAUCAGUAUAGCAGUCUUCAUAUAAUCAUAGCCUGGCUUAGGCUGAGGGGACUUUUGAUAUCAUGUAGUUCCACUCCCUCUGCUGUGAGCAGGGCUGCCCCCCACCAGCUCAGGCUGCUCAGGACCCCAUCCAACCUGGCCUUGAGCACCUCCAGGGAUGGGGUACCACAGCUUCUCUGGGCAGCUAUGCCAGCAACUCAUCACCCUCUGUGGAAAGAAUUUCUGCCUAACAUCUAUCCUAAAUUUCUCUUCUUUUAGUUUAAAACCAUACCCCCCUGUCCUAUCACUACUGGACGAUGUAAAAAGUUGGUCCCCCUCCUGUUUAUAUGCUCCCUUCAAGUGCUAGAAGACUGCAAUGAAGUCUCCCCAGAGCCUUCUCCAAACUAAACAAUUCCAGCUCCCUCAACCUUUCCUCAUUGGAGAGGUGCUCCAGCCCUCUGAUCAUCUUCAUGGUCUUAAGAAUGCUUUGGAAGAUUUGGACCUACGUUGUGUUGUCUGGCUUACAGUGUAUCUGAAGUUCAUCCGAAAGUUGGAAGGGACCACAGGAAGUCAUCUAUUAUAGCUAAGAGAUAACAAUGUAAAUCAGUUUUUGUGGCAAUUAAAGUACGUGUGAUGAAAACAGAGAUGCAUGUUUAGAUUAGUCAGUUACACUAGAUAUGAUUGGUGCUGAAAUUUCAGUAAUUGAUUGCCAAAUUUGUUUCUGUUCACAUUCUGGGUGAAUAUUUGGGAACGUGAGAAGAAUCAUUAGAAGUACUUCUUUCAACACAUACCAGGGUAGUGAUUAGCAAAACAUCUGAAAACACGCUUUGCAGUCCUCCAUAGAACUGGCUGCUUGCUUGGCUCAAUAAUUUCAUCUUAGGCUUUGUCAUAUUUUGUCUUUCCUCCGUUAAAAUUCUCCUGAUCUCCUAGAGUGACAUUUUUCCACCUUUUUUUUUUUUUUUUGUCCUACCCUCUUAUGCUGGAGACUAACAUGAAUUAUAUGAUGGAGUCAUCAUUAUGUAGAUCAGUAAAAAUAUUCACUCACUUAGAUAUUCACACAUCAGAGCAGCAUUUUGAAUGGUUAUUUUAACCAUGCAGAACUCUGGUGGGUACCAAAGAAAAAUGAAUUGACAAGGGUCUAUAUUAUUCACACAGUUAUCUUUUCUGUUUUGCUUAUGGCAAGACCCAGGAUUAUAAUUUAUCAUAGUUCACUUCUGAAGUCUGGUGUUGUCAUGUAAAGCCAAACAGAACAGAUGUUGUUAUGAUGAUGAUUAUUAACACUAUUAUUGAUGGUGUUUACAAACUAAAGCCUGUUUAGGAGAGCACUCGCAUACUUUAGUUCCAUGGAGCUGAGAGGAACUCUGAGCUCUCCAUGCUUGUUUAAUUGUUAUUCUAAACAGGGAUAAACCUGAACAUAUGUUUAAGUGCUUCACUGAACUGGAGCCUUUUAGAGAUAGGAAAGUCUCACUUUCUUCAUGAGACAAACCUUUGUUCAUUCCAGCUAGACCUUGCAGGCAUAAAUCAAGCUGAAAAACCAGAGAAGUAUCUCCCUGCAUAAAUUCUUGGAUUGCUUAAACUCAGCACCUAAUUACAGAGCUGGUGAACCUAGAUACACUGAAGGCGGUUUGAAAGGCUGCCUGAAACAUCAUGGGCUGAGAUGCCUUUGUCGGGAGCAUUGUGCUAUGAUGUGUAACGUGGGUAGAUUCCUGUGGGAUGUUGACAGUUUGUGGGAAAUGCAUGUAGGAGGAACUGGGUUACAAAGACCUGGGUUUUUUCUUUAAUAUUUGUUCCCUCUCAUGGUACUGUUUGUGGUCCUGGGGAAUUUUUCUGUUUUGUUUUGUUCUCUUUUUAAGGUAGGGGGAAGGAGGAUCUUCUGUUUUUGGGAAAACCUUCUCAAUAAAUGCUGCACAUCAUGAGACACUUGUUCAUGGAGAUUUGAUAGUACAUGGAGCCUUCCUUCCCAAAAAGAUGCUAGUUGAUGCUCCUGAAAGCUAUCAUGUUCCUUUUUUGCUCAUGUCAUUUAUGUGGAGUGAUGAUCAUUUGAUAAGCCAUGGAUUUAUGUAAUAAAUUAAUUAGCUCUGCAGUAUUCCCCCAUAUUUCUGCCUGCCAGUCUGUUCCCUGUGGGACUUGUUCAGUUUUUACAAACAGUAACAAAUAGCUCUCAAGAUUCUUAUUUUAUUUUAAGUCAUUUGUAAGGAAAAUGUUUUCUCCUCUUCCCACCAGAAAUGGAAUUUCCUCUCUCCCCCUUUAUUCUGGCCUGAGGCAUUGGGUGGAUGAGAUUCACUCCUGCACUGUCAGCGGGUUCUCUGCAUGCAAACGCAUGGAAUGUAUGUUCAAUAGCUUGCAGCAAUGCAAGGAUAGCACCAGAAGCUUUGCCAUUGGAAAAAGAUGAAUCUUACCUCCAUGAAAACUUGUGAUUCUUACAUCUAAUGUCAGCAGGGCAUCAGAUAUUGUGUUUGAAGUUGUAAUGCCUUCAGCAGAAAAAUACUCAAGCAUUUUAAAUGACGGUGCAGCAUUCAGAGGUCCAGCUCAAGAGAUGUGAACUACCCCACCACAGAAGCUUCCCAGGCAGCAUGGAAGGAAAUUUCUGGAUGACAUUUUGGCUCUACUGAGGUCGGCAGCUGUUUUGCUACUGGCUACAAUGGAGCCAGAAUUUAAUUCUCUUUCCCCAGAACAGAAACUAAGAAGCAGGGUUAAUACCUGGGUACGGAACUGAGGGAGUUUUAUGGUUUGGAUAUCAGGGACUUGUUCUUGGCUCAGAAUAUUAUGGGAUGAAACAAGGAUGGAAACAAUAGAAGAAAAAUCAAUGAUUAUUUGAUUGAUUCCCUGGUGCUUUGGAAAAGAUAGGAAAUUAUGAUCAGCGGUAGCUCAUAUGUGACCUUACGGCAAGAUUUACAAGAGCCCUCCCACACAUGACAUUGAGAGAAUGCAUUUGACAACUUUUGCUCUCAUUAAAACAAAAUAAAACAUAUCCAUGAGCAAAUUCAGAAAGGUCAAUUUUGAAAGGAGAAAGUUUAAGAGCAGCAAACAUUUGCUCUCAGAAGACAAACAUUUAAGUGCCCUAAAACACAGGACACCCUGAGAAAUUCCAAUACUACAUGCAGCGAUGAAAAUUGCUGCAUUCUCAGCAACAUGAUGAAGUGUAUUAGGUUAUAGGUAUAAGAAUGCGACAUUGGUAUGGCAUUCAAAGGAACUUAGAAGUUACAGUUUGUAUCCAGUCUGUGAAGUUUUAGAAGUAUGGAAAGACUAAACAGAAUUCCCAUUUAGUGAAGGUAUACAUGAAAAUAUACAUUCUAGCAAGCAACACUGUUACACUUGUCUAGUCAAGUGGGCAUACCACAAACCAAUUUAGAGAUGCAAAGCAUGAGAAAUUAUGUACUAUGUUUGUAAUAAUGAUGUAAUAAUGUACAAACUUCUAUUACAGAUGUUAGCUUUUUUCUUUUUUCUUUUUUUUUUAGUCAAAUAUUGUUAUUCAUAGAGAUAAUGUAUAAGCUAAAAGUGUCCUGGCCCUACAAAAUGUAAAGAUGGCUUCUAGGAAACUGCAUGGGUAUCAGAGCCCAUCAUCUCUUAUGGGAUGGCUCAUUCAGUGGAAUGCAGUGCCGUUCUUCUCAUUGGAUCAUAAAUAUUGUUUACUCUGAGAAUUACAGGAAGCUUCUUUACCUUAGCAUUCUCCCACGUUAAUAUCAGGCUAAUCUCUCUGAUAUGUCCUUGUGUUACCUGUAACAACUGACAGUCAGCAACGUCUUCUGGGUCUCCCAUCUAUGGUUUCUGGCUGAUAUUUUUUCCUGUGAAAUAAAUCAGGGAGUCAAAUUUCAGCACUGUCCCCUCGUUCAGUUGUUACAGUACAAUUUUAUACUCCUUAUGUUGCAUUGCAACUUUGGGGGGAUUUUACCUAUGUUUUGAGUCAUUUGAUCAACAAAUGAUAAAUUGAUAUGAUCUGCAGAUACUUUCAGUCUAACGUGUCACAAUAACUACGGCUAAUUAUUUAAAUUGAUAGCAAACAACUUUAUAGGACUUAUUUUCCGUGAAUUUGUUUUUAAAUGAUACAUAAUUAUCUUAGACUGGGAUAAGUGGUUAACUGACAAGCAAAUUAAUUGAGACAAAUGUCUCAAACCAUGAUCUCUUUUCUAGGAAAGGAAAUGCUACAGUAAAGCUAGUAGUGGUUGUAUAAGCAUUUUAUGGACCAAAGAUUCUAGAUAGGAAAGUUUCAGCAUCAGUGAUUCAUACAUGAAGUUGCAUGCUAGCAGGCUGUGUUGCUUGUACUGUGAAACUGGAAUAUUUGUUUUGGAAAGGCACAAAUCCUGAAGCUGUAAUCACUCAGCCACUUCUUUGGUUACCUAGUUGUUUCUAGCACUAAAAUGCUAUUUUUUUUUUUCUGUACUUGUAUGCAUGACUUGUUAAUGGCAAAUUAUGAUUACUCCAAAUUUGUAUUUUAAGAUUUAUAUAUUUGUAGGGGCACAGGUGACAUUUAAUCAGAGAAGGAAGCAAUUGGAGUUUCUCAUUCUCUGCCUACCAAAUCUUGAUGCUACCCAGCUGCAAGAGCCUCUUACCAUCUCCCUUGCCCCACAGCAACAAAUGAGCCCAUUAGGUAAUUUUUCCUGUUAAAAUAACCAGCUGACAUCCUCACAUUUUAAAAAGAGAGUCCAUUUUGUCAAGGGACUGCAUCCACAAUACACAUGGAAGUGAGUUUAGGGGAGACUUCAGUAAAAAGGAGACUGCGCUGUGUAGAGGGAUAGUCCCGAUGAGAUUAAAUGGAGAUGAGAGCAUGAAGGUUGUCUCAGUGUAAAUAUGAACAUAUGAGAAAAGACUGUGGAUGGCACCAAGUUGUACCAGAUGACAAGAGGAAAACAUGACUGGGACAAUAGUGUUACCAACUUCAAUCUUUUGGAAAAAAUUAGAAUGGAUGUGAUGAGAGAGAGAGUGUGGAAAGAUGUCUGAUGGUGUGCUACUGAAUGAGUGUGUGGGAGGGUCUAAUGUUGUUUUAAUUUGUACUAAUGAUGUUGUUUUAAGAGUGACUUAGUGGCAUCAGGUUCCUUCCCGAGCCAAAAGGAAGGAGAGAGUCCCUCCUGCAGCCCAUCAUUUCCCAUAGUGGCUUGUGGGAUCUGUGGGAUGCAGAGAGUUGCUAUCCCAGGUAAGAUGCUCAAGAUGAGACCUUCAGAGGCAUCACAGCAGCCUGCCUUCAGAACAGACAAUAAGCUGCAGCAUCUCACUGUGCCAGAAUGUGCUUGACCAUACAUCUCUGAAGUAACGUUGGCCUCCCUAGGUGAGCUGGACUGCCAGCAUGGUCACAGUCAUCCCAAUGGAUUGUCACUGGUGGGUGGUCCUUAGAGCACCACUGGGCUCUGCCCUCCUGGCCCAGGCUUUGCUCCCCUAAAGCAGGAAAAUCGGGUGGCUAUGGGUGUUCUGCAACUCCUGAGAAAUACUCUCCCCAUUUUGGAUAGGUCAUCACUAUGCUUUAAUUAGAAAUGGUAUUGUUUGAAGAACUCUGCAAGAUGUUAUCCAUGGCUGAUAGUAUCAAGUAUCAAGUAUCUAGUAUCAAGAAACUAGAAAGUUAUGAGACUGGCCCUUACAUAAGGAUUUUUUCAUCGGUCCCUUUGCAAUCCUGUGCCUUCAGAGAGUAAUGGUGCUUGUUGUUACUAUUUUUUAUUAAAUUCAAUGCAACCUAUUUCAGAGUGCAAUCUGUUUUUCAAUUUCUGGUGUGGCACCAUUAUUUGUACUAAAGAAAAUUUCAAUAUAUUGUAAAAAUUAUUAUAAAAAUAUUAUAAAGUAAAUUAUUAAAGAAUGAAUUAUUAGACUUUCUUACAUAGUAUUUUAAUAAAUAAUUAAUGAUUGCAAAAUAUUGCAUGUGAAUACUUUUGCAUCUGGCUGGAGGGGGAUGGCAAGGAUUUUUAGCAGCAAUGAAAAAUUUGAGUUGGUGAUUUCUGUAGGAAAACUGAGGAUUUUUUUUUAUAGAAACCUCAUAGUACUUCAGUUUAGACACAGUUUUGAGGUGAAGAUCUACAACAGCUGUCAGAAUUGGUU